rnacentral:rRNA from 1 species
UACGGAGGAUGCAAGCGUUAUCCGGAAUGAUUGGGCGUAAAGCGUCCGUAGGUGGUUUUGUAAGUCCGUGGUUAAAGCGUGUAGCUCAACUACAUAAAGGCCAUGGAAACUACAUAACUUGAGUAAAGUAGGGGUAGAGGGAAUUCCCAGUGUAGCGGUGAAAUGCGUAGAGAUUGGGAAGAACACCGGUGGCGAAAGCGCUCUACUGGGCCUGCACUGACACUGAGGGACGAAAGCUAGGGGAGCGAAAGGG